AUGGCCAUGAGGGUCCCCGCUCAGCUCCUGGGGCUCCUGCUGCUCUGCCUGCCAGCUGUAGGAGACACAGCCACCAUCACUUGCACAGCAAGUAAGGCGACUAGCAAUUACUUAAACUGGUAUCAACAGAAGCCAGGAGAAGCUCCUACACUGCUGAUCUACAGUGCAGACCUUCUGGAAUCUGGGGUCUCAUCACAAUUCAGUGGCACUGGGUCUGGGACAGAUUUCACGCUCACCAUCAGCAGUGUGGAGCCUGAAGAUAUUGCAACUUAUCACCGUCAACAAGGUGGAAAGACACCUCCCACAGUGACACACACCAUGACAGAAACCACCUAG